AUCCCAGUUCGGAUUGCAGGCUGAAACCCGCCUGUAUGAAGUUGGAAUCGCUAGUAAUCGCGGAUCAGCAUGCCGCGGUGAAUACGUUCCCGGGCCUUGUACACACCGCCCGUCACACCAUGAGAGUCGGGAACACCCGAAGUCCGUAGCCUAACCGCAAGGGGGGCGCGGCCGAAGGUGGGUUCGAUAAUUGGGGUGAAGUCGUAACAAGGUAUC
rnacentral:rRNA from 1 species